AUUGCCGACACCUUCACUAUUGUUUAGGGAAUAUUUCUACUAAAGGCAGACAGUGUAUAAUUCGCUAAAAAAUGUCGACGCGGCCUGACGAUCAUCGGAGAAAAUGGAACAGAGAAGAAUAUGAGAGGAUAGCCCUGCAACGGCUUCAAGAUGAGAUCGCAGAGGAAGAGUUGGGUAUUCCCAAACAACCUGCCGUUAAAAGGGAGUUACUCAAACAGCGGGACUAUAAAGUUGACCUUGAGUCUAAGUUGGGCAAAAGCGUUGUCAUUAAUAAAAAUACUCCAUCGUCACAAACUGGCGGGUACUACUGCAAUGUCUGUGACUGUGUCGUUAAAGAUUCUAUUAACUUCUUGGAUCACAUUAAUGGGACAAAACAUCAGCGUAACUUGGGCAUGUCCAUGAAAAUAGAGCGCUCAACAUUGGACCAGGUUAAAGCCAGGUUUGCCGUCAACAAGAAGAAGAUGGAAGAGAAGAAAAAGGAUUACGAUCUGGAACAAAGGGUGAAAGAACUGAAGGAAGAGGAGGAGAAAAUUAAAGAGUAUAGAAAAGAGAAAAGAAAAGACAGAAAGAGGAAGAUCGAGGAAGCCAAUGACGAAGAUGCCGGACCCUCCGAUGAAAUGGCAGCUAUUAUGGGCUUUUCUGGGUUUGGCGGCAAGAAGAAGUGAUAAAUCAAAAAACAUAUCUGUUUCCUGAAUCAUCAAAAUAUUGUACAAAAACUUCUCAGAAACUAUCUACAGAGAAGAACGAAGUACCUCCUAUUAUAGGAAGUCCAGGAUGUGCCGGUCGAAGGUUAACAUCCUUAACAAAUGCAACUCGAAGACUGGAUCUCACCGAGAUCAAAGAAGCGGUUAUUCAAUAAUGUCGCGUUCGAUUAUACGAAUACCUUUAUUCAUUGAGAAAUGUACGUCUCCAGUUUUUAACAACAGAAAAUAAUUGCACAGCGUGAACUUGCAAGUAAGCACGGAUUCCAUUGCAACAUAUGUACAACGAUACCGUGCGAUGAUAUAAAGUGGUUCGAACUCA
rnacentral:misc_RNA from 1 species